rnacentral:misc_RNA from 1 species
AACGCACAUUGCGCCCGCCAGCAUUCUGGCGGGCAUGCCUGUUCGAGCGUCAUUUCAACCCUCGACGUCCCCCGGGACGUCGGCCUUGGGGACCGGCAGCACCCCGCCGGCCCUGAAAUGGAGUGGCGGCCCGUCCGCGGCGACCUCUGCGCAGUACAAGCACUCGCACCGGGAACCCGACGCGGCCCGCCGUGAAACCCCCAACCUCUGAACGUUGACCUCGGAUCAGGUAGGACUACCCGCUGAACUUAA